AUGGAUCUGUUUUGGCAAAAAUCCUUCCAUGGUUCUUGAAGAAGCAUGGAUUAGAAGUGAGAGGGUCCUCACCCCUCACACUACACCACUUCCAAUAGUUUGUUUGGGCUUAGCUAUUGGCUUCUCUAAUCACCAAGAGAUAUGUAUACAAAAAAACAUUCUCUAUGACUAGCAGAUGCAUAUAAGCAUUCUCCAAUGGAGCAAAGGCUUUCUUUGGCUACAGCCUCAGCAAACCGGCAAGUCACAAAAAGGCAUGGACUCCAUUAGGGUCCU
rfam:Lupinus angustifolius cultivar Tanjil contig_11529, whole genome shotgun sequence.